rnacentral:rRNA from 1 species
AGGGUUUGAUUAUGGCUCAGGAUGAACGCUGGCGGCGUGCCUAACACAUGCAAGUCGAACGGAGUUCUUAAGGAAUGCGACUUCGGUCAAAUGACUUUUGAACUUAGUGGCGGACGGGUGAGUAACGCGUGAGCAACCUGCCUUUCAGAGGGGGAUAACAUUUGGAAACAGAUGCUAAUACCGCAUAAGAUUACAGUACCGCAUGAUACAGUGAUCAAAGGAGCAAUCCGCUGAAAGAUGGGCUCGCGUCCGAUUAGAUAGUUGGUGAGGUAACGGCUCACCAAGUCGACGAUCGGUAGCCGGACUGAGAGGUUGAACGGCCACAUUGGGACUGAGACACGGCCCAG